rnacentral:lncRNA from 1 species
UUUUGAUUGCUAGAAUGUAUUUCCUUAAAUUAGAAUACGGCCACAACCCCAGGCUAAAUCCCAAACCUCAAAGCAGCAGCAUUGCAGGGAUUAUCUGAUCCAUCCCAGGGAAAUCAAAUCCACUUCAGGGACUCUGAGGCCAUGUAUAAAUUGUAACAAAGACUCAAAGAGUGAGAUUUUUAAUAUUAUAAAUAUUGCAUUAUUUUUGUACAGAUUAGAAGGAAAUAUUUAAAUUGUCUGAAGCAGUAAGUGUAUUAAUACUUUGACCAUUACAGUAUUCCCAGUUCUAGAUCUAUCAGCUAUACAGAUGAGCCAUAAAAUUAGACAAUACUAUAUUCAAAAAUUUUGUAAAGAAAUAAAUUAGGUAGUAAAUAUUUGCAGGUCUGUGUGUAUAUGUGUGUGUGUGUGUGUGUGUGUGUGUGUACGAACAUCCAUGAUGUAUCUUUGUUUUGCAAAAGGAUUAAUAGAAAGUAAUUGAUACAUUUAGCAUGUGAUUCUUGUCUAAUUUAUGACCAAUAUUUAAAAAUCCUCUUUCCAGUUUUUCUGCCUCCUGAGCUUGCUCUUGUGUCUCAUUAUAGGCUGGUCAGGGGAACUCUGCAGUCCACAGUUGCACACUAGCUCAAAGUUCCUGGUCCUGAGAUCUAAGCCUGCUGCCUUUUGUUGAACUGGUAGGCUUGGUCAGAAGGGAAAGUAACAGGAGAAGACCGCGUAUCAGGGUCAAUUCCUAGAAAGAGAAUGUGUGAAUUCAAAGGAAUAUAAAUGGGUUACCAAGUUGGGGCAGAAACAGAACUCAGCAGGAGAAACCUUAGUAUGUUUUCUUUCUUUCUUGAAGCACAGAGAUAAGGUGAGCCAAAUAUCCCAAGUAGGUUAAGCUUUCAGUAAAGGGUGAAUUAAAAAUCCUCCACUCCCAGGUGCCUUGACAGAGGCCCUCUCCCCAGGUCAAUGACAUUAAAAUGACAAAAGAUACAAUUGCAGCAUUAUUCAGAAUAGUCAGGAUGGUGGGGACAACCCAAGUGUCUGUUAACAGAUGAAUGGAUAAAGAACAUGUGAGAUAUAUAGAUAUUUAUAUAGAUACACAGAUAUCCUUUAGUCAUGAGAAGGAAGGAAAUUUGUCAUAUGCCACCACAUGAAUGAACCUUGAAGGCAUUAAGCUAAGUGAGGGUAAGUCAGAGAAAAACAAAUACUGUGUGAUCUCACUUAUAUAUGAAAUUCCCAAAUGCCAAACUUGCAGAAAUAGAGGGAAAUGGUGGCAAAAAGGGGUAGGGAUUGGCAGAAAUGGGAGAUGGUGGCUAAAGGGUGCAAAUUUCCAGUUAUAAGAUUCCAACAUUCUGGGGAUCUAAUGUACAGUAAGGUGAGGAUAGUUCAUCGUAGUACUCUGUUAUGUACUUGAGAGUUGCUAAGAGAGUAGAUCUUAUGUUUUUACCACAGAAAAAGAAAUGGUAAUUAUGUAACGUGAUGAAGGUGUCAGCUAAGGCCCAGGUGAUAUAAUCAUUCUGCAAUAUGUAGGUGUAUCAAAUCAGCACAUUGUACACCUUAAACUUAAACAAUGUUAUAUGUCACUUAUUUCUCAAUAAAGCUAGGAAAAAAGCCACAAUAAAAGAUACAUGCAAAGGAGGUAAAUAGUAAUUGGAAGCAGAGCAAUACAUGGUUUAAUUAGCUACAUUUUGGGAGAAAACCUUGGUGGAGGAGUCAGUCUGUGAGAGCAUAGUGCUGUAGACAAAAGAUUAAAUCAUGAAGGAAAGAAUUCAAGAUAAAGAUAAAAAGUAAAAUGAAGCCCACAUACUCAUGUGCCUCUGGGAGACUGGAGGCUUUGGCUAAGUGGUGUUGAUAAUAAAUCUUUUGGUUCAAUAUGCCCCUAUCUUGCCUGGUCUGGUUAUCUGCAUUGCUGCUUGGAAGUAACCUUGGUCUGGGAAGUUACAGAAACUCAUUUUCUUGGAAACAUGAGCAACUUGGCUAAGGACUGCAGAAGUUGUCUCAGCCUCGUUAGACUUGUUCUAUCUGCCCCAUAUGAUCACUGUAAGAAUUGCAACAACCCAGAAUGGGAAUAAGAAGGAAGUCAACACUUUUCACCAUUUAUUGGCCUCUUCCCGACAUAUUGGAGCAAGCUUCAUCCUCACAGUAAGCAACUUAAGAAAAGAUAACUCUUUGAACCCUAAUUGACUGCUUUGGAAAUUCUCUCUCAUCCUCCCCCCACCUCCUACUUCAUCCUUCUGGUUUUGUAUGAGUUAAGACGAGGCUGAUGGAUACAACAAACUGUGUGUGUACCAUACCUUCCCUGCUCUUCAGCCUCCCAUGAAUGAAACUAUACCGAUUAUAUUCCUUGCUUAACGUUAUAUCUAUAAGACUAAUCAUGUCAUUGCAUGUGGCAGUGAUUUAUUCUUUAUACUGGUGAGUAGGGUUCUAUUAUAUGAAUAUACCAAAACUGAUUUAUAUAGGGUCCUAUUGAUUGACAAUUGGAUUGUUUCCAGGUUUUGACCCCAACAGAUAAAGUUGCUGCGAACAUUCUUGUACAUGUCUUUUGGUGGACAUGUAUACUAGUCUCUCUUGGAUAUAUACCCACAAGUGGAAUUUCUAUGUCAUAGGGUAUUUUCCGUGUUACACUUUAGCUGAUACUUCGAGAGUUUUCCAAAGUGGCUGUUGUACCAGUCACAUUCCCAUUAACAAUGUAUGAGAGGGCAGCCCCGGUGGCCCAGCGGUUUAGCACCGCCUUCAGCCUGAGGUAUGAUCCUGGAGACCCUGGAUUGAGUCCCACGUUGGGCUUCCUGCGUGGGGCCUGCUUCUCUCUCUACCUGUGCCUCUGCCUUUCUCUCUCUCUCUCUCUGUGUCGGUCAUGAAUAAAUAAAUAAAAUCUUAAAAAAAAAAAAAAACCAAUGUAUGAGAGUUCCAGUUUUUCAAAUCCUUGCCAACACUGGGUAUUAUCAGUCUUCUAAUACUUCUGGCCUUGUGGUAUGUAUAUUGUAAAAUCUUAAUGGUAUUAAUUUGCAUUUCCUUGAUGACUAAUGACAUUGAAUAAUUUUUCUUGUGUUUAUUAUCCAUUUGAAUAUCUUCUUUUAGUGAAGUGCUUGUGUAAAUCUUUUGUCUGUUUUUUUUUGAUUGUUUUUUUUUUUUAAGAAGAUAUUUAUUUAUUUAUUUUAGAGAGAGAGCGCACACACUCAAGUGGUGAGAGGGGCAGAGGGAGAAGAAGAGAGAGAAACAUCAAGCAGACUGCCUGCUGAGUGUGGAGCCCAAUGUGGGGCUCCAUCCCAGGACCCUGAGAUCAUGACCUGAACCGCAACCAAGAAGUGGCCGCUUAACCUACUGACUCACCCAGAUGCCACUGGAUUGUUUGCUUUUUAAAAAAAUGAUUAAUGGGUGAUUUUAAAACAUUUUGGGUAUGCAUCAUUUGUCAGAUAGAGACAUUCAUAUAUAUGUCAUAUAUUUAUAUAUAAAUGCCAGACAUAGAUUAUACAUAUUUUAGAUAUAAAUGUAUAUAUCCUUUAGGUUGGCCCAUAAGGCAGUGCUCCAGGAUAAUCUU